rnacentral:rRNA from 1 species
AUGGGGUCCUUCCGAUUCGCCGCGCUCACGGCGCUCCUCCUAGCCUUCGCCCUGCUCCCGGACCCCGCGGCGGCUAGGGUUUUGCAGGGCAAGAAGCCCCGCUCCGGCGAGGGAGCGCCUGUACCUAACGUAGCUACAGGUGGAUCUGAGAAGGGUGCCGCCUCGAAAGAACUGGGACAAUCAUCAACUCCGGUGGGGAAUCCUGAGACAGGUAAACAGCACCAGAAAACACCGCCGGCGGAAACAACGCAAACACCGCCACCGCCGGAAACGACGCAAACGCCACCACCGCCGGAAACGACACAAACACCAAAGGAUUCUCCACCGCCACCAUCAGGUGUGCCAGAGAGUAAGGGGCAGAAAGGGGCUGAAGCAGAGGUCUCUGCACAGCCGGUGCCAGCGAAGAAUGGGCACAACGAGAGCCCCCCUCCUGGAAGCCCUAAAUCAACUGGAGGAGGUUCAGGAAACAAGAAGCCCGCAACUGAAUCAAAAGAGGUGGCUGAGGAGUGUAAGGAUCCAGUAGACACAUGUUCAAUUGAAGGAUUGUCUGCUUGCCUUCAGGUGUCUAAGACAGCUUCAAGUGGACAAUUUUUUAUAGUCCAGAAUACAGGGCAGAAUACCGUAACCGUUGACGUCAAAACAACAUCAGAUAUAAGUAUAACGGAGACGUUGCCACCUCUCAGCAAGGGUGAAUCUAGAAGGGUUAACAUAAGCUAUAGCAGUCCAAAUGGUGGAGAGGUUACGCUAAAUGUUGGGACUAAGCAUUGUGUCUUGCGCAUCGGGCAGCCAGUUUAUGAUUGGCAACAACAAUUUCAACAGCUUACAUCUUAUGCAACGACUGUGAAGCCAAUCUAUGGAGCCUAUUUAGGUGUUUUCACGCUUGUCUUGGUUGGGGCCGUCUUUGCUUGUUGCAAGUUUGCAGGGACAAAGCGCGAUGGUGGGGUCCCAUAUCAGCAGCUUGAGAUGGGAACUCAGGCUCCUGACUCAUCGGGUGCAAACAACACUACAAGCACAGGAGAUGGCUGGGAAGAUGGAUGGGAUGAUGACUGGGAUGACGAGGAAGCACCUGCAAAACCUUCAGAAAAAGGGCCUGCUGGAAGCAUCUCGGCAAAUGGCCUUUCCCUGAGAUCCCCAACCAAUCGAACCCCAACCAAUAGCAAAGACGGAUGGGAUGUAGAUUGGGAUGACUAA